AUGUCUGUGUAGAGCCCUCCUUUGAUGCGGAACUGCGGCUGCUUGUACUGUCUCAGACCACAGGUGGCUGGGAGAGGAAAGGACAGAGAAAGGAGAUCAGACCUGCAGUCCUCAGCUCCCCUGUGUGAAACGGGCUCUGUGAGAAAAGCUGGAAGAGUUCACAGCAGAAGUACAAGCUGUGGGGUCAGAGGACGUGGGAACAGACAGACACGGGCUCUGCCACCUGGAGCCCAGUGAGCUUCGGCAGCCACAUGAUUGGGAGCUGGUUUCCUCAUCUGGAAACUAAAGAGAGGAAGACCACCUCUGACCACGCUGUCGGGAGAAUGCUACCAGAGCACUUUGUUAUGGAGGCAGCCAUCAAUGUGAGCUCUCCUCCUCCAUGCUCACCACGACCUCAUCACCAACCAUUAAUAAAGGCAUCCGGAGAGAGAAGUUCAGAGCCUAAUGAAUUCUAAGAGAAACUGGCAAGUUCUCUUUCGCUUUGCCCCUUUGUGUCACCCUCGUGCAUGGGGAAUGAACACCUGCCCAGAGCGUUGCUUCAAUCAUGGAAAGCCCCUCCCCACCAAAGCCUUCCUGAAAAUCUGGGAGUGACACAGUCUGAAGCAGACAGCUGUGAGGACAUGGGAAGUGACAGAGGAAAUGGUCAAGAGGGGGGCUGGGCGGCGGCAGGUGGCCAAGGGCCAGUCCUUACAGCACUGGGGGACGUCGCAGUAUUCCCACGUCACCUUGCGGUCCUUCAGCACAUGACACCAAGGCUUGGCAUCCCCAUCUGGGUUCCUAGAUGAUAAGAGAGUUCAAGGUUUUCAAUCACAUCACAAGCCAUGUGAGAGAGGAAGGAGGCUCAGUAAACCAAUAGCCAAACAAUGAGCUGGAAAGGAGGGGCCUGAGUUCCGAACUUGGCUCUGUCAGAGAUCUCACCAGAGGAAAACAACUUUAGUUUUGUUUUUCUAUCACAUUUUCUAUCACAACAUUCUCCUCUGACAAGGAUGUUGGAAGGAACUGUAAGCUAUGCUGUGAGGACACUCUUAUGAUUCACUGGGAGAAAGGCGCCAUAUAAGAACCGAGCAGAUGAGGCCCAAGUGGCUAAGGGACAGCACCUCGAACUUGCAAUGUGGGCUGACAAACUGGUGAACUUCACUCUUUAUAAAAGAUGUUAUGCUGGCGAGUGAAUGGGGGUGACUAGAUCAUAUCCCACCCACUGGGUCUUUCCUAUAACUUGAGGUAUGAAAUCUUCUCCCAUCCCACGCCCCAGUCCUGCCUUCUGCCCAGACAUGAAUCCCACGGACGCUUUGCUGCAUACCGGCAGUAAUUGUGGUUGCCCAGGCCCAGCGCCUGAGAAUUGCUCUUCCACGCUGUAUAGACCUUGCCUGCUAGGGCUACAGAAUUCCAGGAGAGGCAGGAGGUACCAGACGCAGUGAGGCUGUACGUGCCACGGUAUGCUAACCCCUUUCCAAAGUAGCAGUCCUCGUAUUUUUCUGGAACAAAAGAAAUCUCAAACUGAAACAAAAGUAAUUUAAAUGCUACCGCAGGUAAGUCAGGGUUUGCAGCUGGUCCUGAGAGGGGCGGCAGGCCUGACAGGAUGAAGGCAGCCAGCCUGCCCAUAGGAGGGAGGAGAUCACCAUCCCACCUCUCCCCUCUCCCCCUCCUCCUAGCCCUUCUACAUGAGUGGUAAAUGGCUUUCGGUUGGUGGGCCAGCUUUCAUCAGUUGGAUGUGGCUUCCUAGAUUGCUGUGUGGAGAGAUCCUUGAGGGUUCGUUCAUGUUGGGUAGGAAGGGUCUAUGCCCAACUGGUAGUGAUUAUUGCUGGAGCUGCUUCGAAGGUAAUUGGGAGUUUCCUUGUUUAUACUUGACAGGUUGUGGUGAACCGGGGCUCUUCAAUGGAGUGACAUGUCAGCAGACCCCAGUUUCUCAGAUUUUGUCUGCCAGUGCUCUGAAGGGUUUGUUGGCCUUGAGCAGGAAGAGAGCAUAUGGACCUACAGAUGCUGCCUAUUUGCCCCAUUUUACCCUCCUUUCUCCCCACUUGAAACUGGCAGAGUGUACCACUCUAAACGACAUAAGGAACAUGAUCUUUAAGGCUACCUAGACCAGUGAGUCACAGUUUACUGAUCCUUGGAGGGGAGAAGAUGCUUUAGAAUUACUGUAAAGGGUCCUCAAAUUCACAGACAUGUCAGACUUAUCUGUUGGCAGAAGGCACAUUAAUAUUGUGUAUGAAUAUUUAGAACUUUAUUUUUAUUUAUUUAUUUAUUUUUAAAGAUUUUAUUUAUUUAUUUGACAGAGAGAGAGAGAGGUCACAAGUAGGCAGAGAGGCAGGCAGAGAGAGAGGGGGAAGCAGGCUCCCUGCUGAGCAGGUAGCCUGAUGCGGGGCUCGAUCCCAGGAUACUGGGAUCAUGACCUGAGUCAAAGGCAGAGGCUUAACCCACCGAGCCACCCAGGUGCCCCGAAUAUUUAGAACUUUAAAACACAUGUUUUAUACUAUUGCAAUAUCAUUAUUUGUAAAAGCACCACAGAAUGCAUAGUGCUUUUUUAUAAUUUAGUAUUUUUAAAUUUGGAAAAUCUUCUUAUAUUAAACAUAUAAUAUGUUUAACAUCUCUCUCUUAAAAAGAGAGAGAGCAAUGGAAAAUACGCCCCUCAAUCAUGAAGGGGAGAAUCUCCAUUCCCCCUCAAAAGGCCUGGAAACCACCAAUGCGGGCCCCCUUCUCCUCUGUACCUGAGGAAAUGGAGGGUCGGGGGCAAAGAAACCAGCUCAAGGUCAACCAGUUAAUUAGAGGCCAGGCCUGGGUGAAGACCUACAUCUCCUGACUUGUCUUGCCUCUGCAAUGAAAAUGAUGAACCGGCAGCCUACUCCUUUGUCUCCUCAGCUGUAGAAACACAGUUGCUUUAUCCUCUGAGACUCUACUUCCAGGACGCUGGGGUUGGGGGGAAAGGGGAGGCGGCACUUACCCUUGGGGCAGGCUGGUGUGCUGCAGAACUCACUGCUGUACUUCCCUGCCUUGAAGACGUAGCACCAGGGCCUCGAGUCACGGUCGGGGUUUCUGAAAAAGCAGCCAGGGAAGGCCGUGGGAGGGGAGAAGUGAAGCCUCCCUCUCAGACCCAAGGACUCUGCAUCCUCUUCUGGGGAAAAGGUCCGUGCACUUCCAGUUGUACCCGGGAGAGCUGGAUCAGGUUGGGUGGAAGUAGGACUUGGCUACUGUCUCCAUCUGGAGACCAAAGGGGGGUUAAGGACUUGUGCACAGAAGCCAUGUUGACAAGGGCUGGCCUGGGAUGAUUGGUUUUAUGGAUUAACUUGGCUCUAAGUGCCCAUUUAUCUAAUCGAACAUUAAUCUAGGUGCUGUGCUGAAGAGAUUUUGUAGCUGUGGCUAAUAUCAGCAAUCUGUUGAAGUGAAGGAGAUUAACCCCCAUCCUGUGGGUCGCCUCCUCCAAUCUGUGGAAGGCCUUAGGAGCGAAAGCUGGGGUGGAAGUUCGGCCUCCAGACUGCAACAGAGAAGCCUGUCUGAGUUUGCAGCCUGCUGGCCUGCCCACAGAUUUCAGACAUGCCAGCCCCCGCAGCGAGCCAACUCCUUGCUAUGAAUCACCAUAUUGGUAGGGAGUGUAUUGGUUCUGUUCCUCUGGAGAGCCGGGGCAGAUCGGCUCCAGGUCGCUUCCGGAUGUAGCAGCUCCUCCCCAGGGAGGGGAGCAAGCUCAGGAGCGUAGGCGGCCGUCUCACCUGCAGUAAUUGUGAUUGCCAAGUCCCAGCUGGACGGCGUUGGGCCGCCUCCCAGUGUACGGCUUCGAGGCCAGCACGCUGCUGUUCCAGUUAACACACUCGGCCCCACUUUCUGCUGUGCUCCAUGUGCCCC